ensembl:lncRNA
CUCACUUCAGGUAGUUUUGAGAUGAUCUGUAGACAUUUUCCCAUAUCCUUUUAAAAUUUAGUUCACAUAAAUCCAGAAAGACGAGUUCAGAACAUAGGAGGUUACCAUGGCCUUGGCAAGCUGAACCUGGCACAGUUUUUCACGUAUAUAAGGGGGAGAACAACUCUUAAGAGCACCACAGAUUCUGGGUCCUACAGGACUGUUUGCUAGCCUGUGGAUGAUGCUGCAAUAGUUCUGCAGAGAGCAACAGCCCAGCAGGAGCUGCUUCAGAAAGGGAUUGUCCAUGUGAGGGAUUUCCAGAGUGCUGGAACUAGACUGGAAGACCAUUGAGAGACAGCAAAGCUUCAGUGUAGCCUUCCCUUUGAAGGGGGAGAGGAGAGAGGAAUCACAUUAUUCGAUUUCUUAACAUUACCUUUGUGAUCUAGAAGAUGCAUUCUUGUUCUGUUUUCCUAACAUAAAGUUGCAUUAUGUCUAGAAAUUGGAGCGACUGUAAUGGGGAACUCCUAGCAGAUAAAUACUGCAAGUAGAAAGAGUAAGUGUACUUCAGAA